GUCUCUUCGGAGACAUCCAAUAAAAUUGGAACGGUAAAGAAAAAAUUAGCCUAACCCCUUUUUCGCAAGGAUGAUAUAAGAAAAGAAUAUUAAAAUACUAUU